rnacentral:rRNA from 1 species
GAUGAACGCUGACAGAAUGCUUAACACAUGCAAGUCUUUGGCGAAGCUGUGCUUGCACAGCCUAGCCAAGGCGGACGGGUGAGUAACGCGUAAGGAACUUGCCCUGCAGUCAGGGAUAACAGACGGAAACGACUGAUAAGACCUGGUAAAGUCAGGCGGACUCAUGUCCAGCCUGAUGAAAAGGGAUGCUGCAGGAGAGCCUUGCGUCCUAUUAGCUUGUUGGUGGGGUAACGGCCCACCAAGGCGAUGAUAGGUAGCCGGCCUGAGAGGGUGGACGGCCACAAGGGGACUGAGAUACGGCCCUUACUCCUACGGGAGGCAGCAGUGGGGAAUAUUGGACAAUGGGGGCAACCCUGAUCCAGCAAUUCUGUGUGCACGAUGAAGGUUUUCGGAUUGUAAAGUGCUUUCAGCAGGGAAGAAAAAAAUGACGGUACCUGCAGAAGAAGCGACGGCUAACUACGUG